GUUUUAGAAUAAAUGUGUUUAUUUCCGAUGCAAAGACCCUAUGAGUGUAUCAAUAUUAAUACCAAAAUAUGCAAUCCUCAAUGACCUGACAACAGUAUCGUAACUAUAUCCUAUCCGAGUAAGUCUGUUUAAAGGUUUGGUUAAAUCUUGAGGUGAAUGAGACAUUUUUUAGCUUUGUAAGAAUAUAACCACAAAAUAUUGGAUGUGAAAUACCUGUACGUAUAAAAUGUCUGCAUGUUGAUUUAUAUUUACGAAUGAUGUCCUUAUACCGAUAAUAAAAUUUAGUAAAUGUUUGGACUAGUUUGUGAUAUCAAAAACCCUGGUGUAAUAAUUUUUCAGUAAUACAGAGAUUUCUUUCGUUGAAAUCAUAUACGUUGUUACCCACACGAGCGACGAAAGCCGUCAACAUUGUGUUAUA
rnacentral:lncRNA from 1 species